UACGGAGGGUGCGAGCGUUGUCCGGAAUUAUUGGGCGUAAAGAGCUCGUAGGCGGUGUGUCGCGUCGGCCGUGAAAACCUGCAGCUUAACUGUGGGCGUGCGGUCGAUACGGGCAUCACUGGAGUUCGGCAGGGGAGACUGGAAUUCCUGGUGUAGCGGUGAAAUGCGCAGAUAUCAGGAGGAACACCGGUGGCGAAGGCGGGUCUCUGGGCCGAUACUGACGCUGAGGAGCGAAAGCGUGGGGAGCGAACAGG
rnacentral:rRNA from 1 species